rnacentral:rRNA from 1 species
UUUAAGCAUAUCACUCAGUGGAGGAGAAGAAAGUAACUACGAUGGCCCCAGUAAUGGCGAAUGAACAGGCACGAUGCGGGCCGUCCCCGAGGGGGCUUCCGCGCUACGGAUACGGCUUUCCGCUGCGCUAUGCGCUGUUGGGUUUGGGACGGAGGGGCCGCUGCGGGGGUCUCGACGCGGCGCCUGCAAGUCGCCUGGAACGGCGCGCAGCAAAGGGUUAUAGCCCCGUGCGUUGGUGUGCGCCGCGUCGUCCGUGGCACCGGCCCCUCUGCGCCCACGAGUAGAGCUGCUUGGGACUGUAGUUUGAACUGCGAGGUGUAUCCCUCGUAAGGCUGAAUACCGGCACGGGACCGAUAGAGUACAAGUAGAGUGAUCGAAGGGUGCAAAGAACUCUGCAAAGAGGGUUAAAAGUACCUGAAGCUGCAGCGGGACCGGCGGUGGGUGGUUCCUCUGGCGGGCGCCUCGGGCGCCGCGGCUGUGCGCCGUCUUCCCUCCUCGCGGGGGGGGGACGGGGCGCGUCGCGGCGCGCGGGCGCCGUGGGGGCCGCACCGGCGGCGCGGGGUCCGGCAACGGGCCACCGCGCCGACGGCGUGGCCGCCACACGCGACCAAGCGACCUCGGGCCGGCCCGCGGCCGGUCACAGAGCCCCUUGCCUCGGCUUGGGACGAAUCGUGGCGGCACGCGGUGGCACGCCGCCUGCUUGGGCCCGAGGGUGUGAUAGCGAGCAGCGGACAGACGGCGAGCGGCUCUCGCGCGCGUGGAACCUAUAAAGGGGGGGACCCGGGCUGCACUUUGUGUGUUGUGCGCCGCACCCGUGGCCCUCUUGCUCUGGAUCCUGGGGCCCCCCUGCCGCGCGCGCAGGCAACUUGUCGACGCGGGGCUGCAUGUGCCGUGUCCGGUGCGUCUUCGGGCGCGCCGGUCCCGGGUGCCCCGUGUGGCGGGGCGACUGAUGCGCGGCGACUGCGCCACACUGGUGGUGGUCUCCGCGCGCCGGUCGCCCCCCGGACGGGGUACGGUGGAGCGGGCAGCCAGGCUUGGCGUGGCAGGGCCGUCCCCUGCCCGUCUUGAAACACGGACCAAGGAGUCUAUGGGGCGCGCAAGUAGGCGGGUGUUCUUGGCAAAACCGCAGGAGGGCGCCGCGCGUUCGGGCGGUGGGGGGUGCUUCCGCGUCCCCCCCCGGCCGGCGCGUGGCGCCGCGUACGAUGCAUGGUGAAAGCAAAUGAGCCAACGGUGUCUGAAUAGCCAUUCGUUGUUUGGGGCUCCCAGGAAAAGCGUCCGUGUCUUGACAGGGCGCGCUGGGGGGCGUGUGUGUUGUGCCUUUACGGGUGCGGCGCGCGUGCCUCCCUCCGCUCUUGUGUGCGGGGGCCGAUCCGCAGGGGCCGCCGGUCCCUAAUCUAGUAGACGGGGUUCUGAGUGCGAGCGUGUGCCGUGGGACCCGAAAGGUGGUGAACUAUACCUGGUCACGACGAAGCCGUGGGAAACUGCGGUGGAGGUCGGUAGCUGUCCUGACGUGCAAAUUGUGUAGUCUGAAUUGGGCAUAGGGGUGAAAGGCCAAUCGAACCGUCUAGUAGCUGGUUUCCACCGAAGUUUCCCUCAGGAUAGCCGGGGCCGGUUGUUGUUUUUGAUUCGUGUACUUUGGGGGUUGUGUCCGGUAAAGCAACGCAUGAGAGGCUAUCCCGGGGAGGCGUCCCUCCUCGACCUAUUCUCAAACUGUGAAUGGGCACGCAGCAAUGCACGCCCCUUCACACCUACGGCGGUCGGCCCUCACACUCGCGACUUCGGCCCCCCCGGGCGGCGGCGUGCGGCGGUGCCGUUCCCCUUCUACUCCUGGGCGCGUUUCCUGGCUGAUGGUGGCCGAUCGCGCGGUGCUCAACGGGUGUAUACGCAGCGGGCGCGCGCCUCCCCCCUCGCGGGGCCGCCCCUCUCCGUGUCCCCCUUGCCGCGCGACUCGCGGUGCCUCGCCGACUAGAACGGAGUGUGGCCCUAUGUGGGCCAUUACUGGUAAGCAGUGCUGGCGAUGCGGGGUGAUCCGAGAGCGUGCUUACAGGGCCCGAGUGCUGGCUCAUGCCCAGAUCCCACAAAGGACGUUGCCUGCUAGGGAUAGCAGGGCGGUGGCCAUGAAGGUUGGAAUCCGCUGAGGAGUGUGUAACAACCCACCUGCCGAAGCGGGCAGCUCCGAAAAUGGAUGACGCCCAAGCCAGCGCACCGCCCUCGCCUCACAGCACGCCGCCGCCGCGGCAGCAGGGCAGGGCGUUGGCGCGUAGGUGGACGCGGGGGCCCGCGGAGCCGGUCUUGGGGUGACCCAGGCCGGAGCGCCCCCCGGCGCAGAUCUUGGUUGUAGUAGCGAAUACUCAAUCGGGGUGCGAGCGGCAACCCCCGCCGUGUGUGGUUGAGGACUGGAGUGGAGUAGGUUUCCGUGCCAACAGCCGUUGAACGCGGGUCAGCCGACUGCGAGCCAAGUGGCAAAGCUCACCGUGUGACUAAGGCCACCACGCGGCCGGGCGCACGGGUGCGGCGCUGCCCCCUCCGGGGGGCGGUGCCGCGCCCCGCCCGGCCGGCGCUGGUGGGGUUGGCGAACAGGCAGGCGCACCCAACAUUCCGCCGCACCGGGUCGGGACGCCGUUUGAUGGUGGCGACGCCCCUCUGCGGCGUGCAAUGCGGGGCGGGGGACGAUGGGUCCCCCGAGGAGUUGUCUUUUCCUUCUGACGCAAGAGCACGCGGGCUAUCGAUUGGCAUGCCAGAUGGAGACAUAACCCUCCGCUCGGCAAGGCGGCGCCGCAUCGGCGCCGGCGGUGUGAGUCUCGGCCCCCUUUCUUACGAAUCCCCCUUUCUCGUGCGCCGGUCCUUCCCCUUCCCUCCGCGACGACAAGCGGGGCGGCCCGUACUGCGGCGCCCAUCGGCUCCAAGGAACGCCCCGCGGCGGCUGCUGUUCCAGACUCUUGCUGUCGUACCGAAUCACCGCAGCCGGUCUCCUCGGCUAGACGCCGCUGGUCCACGGACGAAAUGCAGCUAAGGGAAGUCGGCAAACUGGCCGCGUACCUUUGGAAGAUGCGGUGGCUCCAGAGGCCAGGCCGUCGGGCCCUCCCGCAGGCCGUGCGGCGCGGGGGAGUGCGCCCCUGCGAACGACCGCGCUCCGGCGCGGGCGUUGGACAGGGGGCCGCCACGCCCCCGCCGCCGCCGCCGCACGGAGACUGAGUGGAAGCGCCCUCACCGGACUUUCGCCCCCCUGCGGACGGGGGGCCGGGCGCCCGCGCCCGGUCCCGCCCCGGCGUCUACAAGUGGCUAGCUUGGAACUGUUGCUGUGCGGGGGAAUCUGACUGUUUAAUUGAAACACAGCUUCGUGAGGGGACCAGCCGGCUGUUUCCACGAGGUGACUUCUGCCCAGUGCUCUGAUUGUCAACGCAAAGAGAUUUAGCCAAGCGCGGGUAAACGGCGGGAGUAACUAUGACUCUCUUAAGGUAGCCAAAUGCCUCGUCAACCAAUUAUUGACGCGCAUGAAUGGAUCAACGAGAUUCCUGCUGUCCCUAGCGGCGAUCCGGUGAACCAACAGCCAAGGGAACGGGCUUGGGUGUGUCAGCGGGGAAAGAAGAGCCUGUUGAGA